rnacentral:lncRNA from 1 species
CACAUUCUUAUUAGACAUGCUGUGAUUCACUCAAAUCUUCCUCUUCUGAGAGAAGAGGUUCAUCAGAUCAUUCCUCUCCUCCUCCUGCUAUUCUGAAGUGGACGUAUCUUUGCAUGGAGAAACAGAGGAUCAUUUAUUGUUAUUAUUAAGUAAAUAGUAUCACAAAUGUUGGGAGUCUCAGUUACUUGAAAUGGGUUUCCUUCCAAUGUUCUUAUCUCCAGUUUUGAGUUAUAGCCAGUUUCCACGUCACACGCCCACAAGCUGGACCAAUGUCUGGGGAAAUCGCUGGAUGAUAUUCCGCAUUAUGAUUGGAGCUGGUUUGAUAAAGAUGAGAGGUGGUACCUGUUAGAGGGACUUGACUUGUAUGACUAUCAU